ACAGCCAAAACUAAUCAACACACUAAUUUGAAACACCAUAUUCAGCUGCAUACGUAUUCAUCCAAUUUUCACGUCUCAUUUUCUUCAUCAACACAGCUCAAGCAUAAAGCUCACCACCCCUCUAUAGUUGAUACAACAUAUCCACUCCAUCUCCACCCAGUAGCCAUCGUAAAUCCCUUCUCCAAACAGCCAUAAAACUAGACCCAUUAGAAUCACAUCAGCUUAAAAAACAAACCUAAAGCAGCAACUGAAAAAGAACCAUACGAAACCAGCUCCAAAACCACUUGUUAACCACCACAUUAAAAUUCCAUAAAGCCGCCCGAGAUGGAUUUGAGCUGAGAAUCCUUGGGUCGAGUUUCUUCUGUUCGGAUUUCGUUACUCCGGUUGAGGUCGAGUUCCGCUUGAGGUUUUCCGUCGAGCUCUGGUUAUUCAAACUUAACUGAUUCAAAUUUGUUGAAAAGCUCUUUAAGACUCUGUCUGUUCGGAAGCACUUCAGAAGGAAAAAGCUUUGGCGUGAAAGUUCGUGACACCUGUUCGACAUUGAGAGUUAUUUUCAGGUGAUGUUCGGAGUCUCACGACCGUUUCGAGGCAUUCGUCAAAGGCGGUUUGGCUAACGAUUUACAGGAUGACGCAUCUGCUCGUUAGGAUCUCCAGUAUCAGCUGAUUGGUGAGCUCCUCUUUAAGGGCCUUAUCAUUUAUUUACAGUUUUUAUAGCAGUUAUAGACAGUCAGGUAUGCCGGGGGCCUUGUCCUGGCAACAGUUGAUUUACAGUACUUCAGUAGAGGCUUCAUAGACUAUAUAUCAGCUAGGCAGAAACACAUGCUUUUAUGUUAGCCUUGUUGGCUACAAUAUUUAUCUUUAAGACUUAGUUAAGUAUUCCGCACU